UAGAUACCCUGGUAGUCCACACCGUAAACGUUGGGCGCUAGGUGUGGGGCCUAUUCCAUGGGUUCCGUGCCGCAGCUAACGCAUUAAGCGCCCCGCCUGGGGAGUACGGCCGCAAGGCUAAAACUCAAAGGAAUUGACGGGGGCCCGCACAAGCGGCGGAGCAUGCGGAUUAAUUCGAUGCAACGCGAAGAACCUUACCUGGGUUUGACAUAUGCCGGAAAGCCAUAGAGAUAUGGCCCCUUUUGUCGGU
rnacentral:rRNA from 1 species